UAGCGAUGGUAUCGGUUUCUAGUCCGCAGAGUCAUCCGGUCGCUUCCCAGGCCCCUUCCAGGAAAUUAACAAGUCCAUUAAACCGGGAACGAAGCGGGAGCCUUCCGUAAACGGGCCGAUUUUUGCAGCACGCCGGAUUUCAGAGUCGUGUCUGGCCGGGUUGGUCGUUUGCGCUCUCGUCGGCUAAUUGCAGAAAUAAUCUGACAACGGGCUUUACAGUUACCGUGGCAAAGUCUCUCUCGAGACCAGGUUUCUUUCGGUCGUCCGCUACGACGGCGUUGCAAAGGAGUUCCGUGGGCGCGGAGGGCUUUUUUCCGCCGAGAGCAGAAAUCACGCCUCGGCCAGCUCGUGAUGCUCCACGCUGCCACCCGUCUGAGAUCUUAUUUAGCGGCGUUAGUGCUUACUUUUGCAAAUUGUGCAACUCCGAAACACUUCUGCAUCUCCGGAUAGACCACCAUGGGAAACGAGAGUUCGUUCACUCUCCGCGUCAGGGUCACUGGAAUUUUCAAAUUCUAUGAAUAUGAUGCAUAGAAUGAAGGAUCUAUUCACAUGGAUGAAGGAUCUUGUGAAAAUCCAGAAAUAAGAACAUGCGAAAAGCACACUAUCCCAAAAAUGGAUUUUAGUUAUGUCGGAUUCGUAUGUGUUUCUUUAAAAGCCGGUGACCGAGUACAAAAAUUUUGUAUGGAAGCAAAGAUGGAUCUUAAUUGUCAAGCCAACUAUAAAGAAUUCCAAUCCACCGAUCCUAGUAUUUUAGGAAACGCAGAAGUUGUGGAUUGUUGCGAUACCGAUUUUUGCAAUACCGCCACAACUUUUAAAUCCUAUUUUGUUUCUUCUUUGAUUGGUAUAUUCUUAUUCAUCAUCAAUAACAUAUCAUAGAGUUUCAAUCUGUUAAAACAAAUUACAAGGAAUAAAUAAAUAAAUGAUCAAUGGUAA